GAUGAACGCUGGCGGCGUGCCUAAUACAUGCAAGUCGAGCGAACAGACGAGGAGCUUGCUCCUUUGACGUUAGCGGCGGACGGGUGAGUAACACGUAGGUAACCUACCUAUAAGACUGGGAUAACUUCGGGAAACCGGAGCUAAUACCGGAUAAUAUUUCGAACCGCAUGGUUCGAUAGUGAAAGAUGGCUUUGCUAUCACUUAUAGAUGGACCUGCGCCGUAUUAGCUAGUUGGUAAGGUAACGGCUUACCAAGGCAACGAUACGUAGCCGACCUGAGAGGGUGAUCGGCCACACUGGAACUGAGACACGGUCCAGACUCCUACGGGAGGCAGCAGUAGGGAAUCUUCCGCAAUGGGCGAAAGCCUGACGGAGCAACGCCGCGUGAGUGAUGAAGGUCUUCGGAUCGUAAAACUCUGUCAUUAGGGAAGAACAAACGUGUAAGUAACUGUGCACGUCUUGACGGUACCUAAUCAGAAAGCCACGGCUAACUACGUG
rnacentral:rRNA from 1 species